AAAAACCAAGUGUCAGGGCAAUUUCAAUACUGAAUCCAGAACGGUGAAUAUUGAUGCUUAUCAAUUAAGUACCAUCGGAUGUGCAAGACAGUCCUGUAUUAGUUGGCCUGUUCAGGAUUAGCUCAUAGCCCCUGACGACCAAACCUGCUUAGGGUAAUUGCACAAGUGAUUGGCAAUCGAAGUUUAAAGAAAGAAUCAAAG